rnacentral:rRNA from 1 species
UAUUGGACAAUGGGGGGAACCCUGAUCCAGCGACGCCGCGUGAGUGAAGAAGUAUUUCGGUAUGUAAAGCUCUAUCAGCAGGGAAGAAAGAAAUGACGGUACCUGACUAAGAAGCCACGGCUAACUCCGUGCCAGCAGCCGCGGUAAUACGUAGGGGGCAAGCGUUAUCCGGAUUUACUGGGUGUAAAGGGAGCGUAGACGGCAAUGCAAGUCUGGAGUGAAAGGCGGGGGCACAACCCCCGGAAUGCUCUGGAAACUGUAUAGCUGGAGUGCAGGAGAGGUAAGUGGAAUUCCUAGUGUAGCGGUGAAAUGCGUAGAUAUUAGGAGGAACACCAGUGGCGAAGGCGGCUUACUGGACUGUAACUGACGUUGAGGCUCGAAAGCGUGGGGAGCAAACAGG